rnacentral:lncRNA from 1 species
UAGCACUUGGUCUUUUGGGCUUGGAUUUUGCAAUGGAGAAAAAGCUUGAAAACCCCACAGAUAAGAGUACCGUUGAAUAUGUAACCGAGCAUGAAAAGUGGGAAAGGGCUAACAAACUCUGUUUGAAAAUUAUUAAGCGAUCGAUAUCUGAUUCCAUUCUAGGUGCCAUCCCUGAUAAUGAAAAUGCCAAAAAUUUUAUGAAUGCCAUCGGAGAAAAAUUUAUUAAGUCUGAUAAAGCCGAAACUGGGGAUCUGAUGGAUAAAUUUAUGAGCAUGAAAUAUGACAGUACAAGUGGUGCUAGGGAGCAUGUCAUGAAAAUGAUAAAUAUAUCAUCUAAGCUAAAGGUUCUUGACAUUCCCACUGCGGAGCCUUUUCUGGUCUAUCAUGUUUUGAAUAACCUUCCUAGCAAAUUUAAUUAGCUUAAGAUUGCUUACAAUGCUCAGCGGGAUAAGUGGAAUUUGAAUGACCUCAUAGCAGUGUGUGCCCAAGAAGAGUAUAGGAUGCGUCGUGAGACUAUUGAAACUGUGCAAUUAGCUUUUCAGCCAUCACAGAAUAAGGGGCCUUCUCAUAAUCGUAAAUCUAAGUUUCGUAAGGGUAAUAAGUCCCAUCGAAGUCAGCAGAAUAAUAAUUUUAGUGGUUCCAAAGCAGUUAUAAAGAAAAAUGAUCAAUGCAAGUUCUGUAAAAAGAAGGGUCACUGGCAGAAAGACUGUUUUAAGUUCAAGACUUGGUUGGAAAAGAAGAAGAGUUCUUCAGGUAUUCCCUUGGCCUUAGUUUGUUUUGAAUCUUCUUUAGUAGAUGUACCUUUGAAUUCUUGGAGGUUAGACUCGGGAGCUAGUAUUCAUAUUGCAAAUUCCUUGCCGGGGUUCAUAAGCAAACGGAGGCCAAGUGAGAAUGAAGUAAGAUUGAGCGUUGCAAAUGGAUUUCAAGUGAAGGUUGAAUUCAUAGGAGUAGUGAAGUUAACUUUAGAGUCUGGUUUUUAUCUUGUUUUGGAAAAUACAGUUUAUGUACCGCAGAUGAGACGAAAUUUAAUUUCUAUACCAAAACUUGAUGCUUGUGGUUUUACAUUUAAUUUUGGUAAUGGA